rnacentral:snRNA from 1 species
GUCCCCUUCGGGGUGACAUAUGAAAAAAAUUGGAAUGAUACAGAGAAGGGCUUUUUUUUGCCUUUGUCAAAGAUUUCACUGUAAUCCCCGGAGUGGUUGAUCAUUCCAUUUGCGGAAAUUUUCCCUUUUUGGAUAUUCCAAUAUUUUGACCCAGACAUUGUCCAGGUCAAAAAUAUAUAAUAUUGUUCAGAUUAGCAUGGCCCCUGCACAAGGAUGACACACUUUCCCAGAGUGGUAUAUCUACGGAUCUCAAUGUUU